AUAGCCUGAGACGUGAUGCGUAGCCGAUUGAGGCGAAUUCAGUGAUCCUAUGCUGCCGAGAAAAGCCUCUAGCGAGCUUUCACACGGCCCGUACCCCAAACCGACACAGGUGGUCAGGUAGAGAAUACUAAGGCGAUCGAGAUAACUAUGGUUAAGGAACUCGGCAAAAUGCCCCCGUAACUUCGGGAGAAGGGGGGCCCUGUUUGGUGACGACAUUUACUGUCUGAGCUGGGUGGGGCCGCAGAGACCAGUGAGAAGCGACUGUUUACUAAAAACACAGGUCCGUGCGAAGUCGUAAGACGAUGUAUACGGACUGACGCCUGCCCGGUGCUGGAAGGUUAAGAGGACCGGUUAGUUCCUUCGGGAGCGAAGCUGAGAAUUUAAGCCCCAGUAAACGGCGGUGGUAACUAUAACCAUCCUAAGGUAGCGAAAUUCCUUGUCGGGUAAGUUCCGACCUGCACGAAUGGCGUAACGACUUCUCAGCUGUCUCAACCGUAGACUCGGCGAAAUUGCAUUACGAGUAAAGAUGCUCGUUACGCGCGGCAGGACGAAAAGACCCCGGGACCUUCACUACAGCUUGGUAUUGGUGUUCGGUUCGGUUUGUGUAGGAUAGGUGGGAGACUGUGAAACGGUGACGCCAGUUAUCGUGGAGUCGUUGUUGAAAUACCACUCUGAUCGAAUUGGACCUCUAACCUCGGACCAUGAUCUGGUUCAGGGACAGUGCCUGGUGGGUAGUUUAACUGGGGCGGUUGCCUCCCAAAAUGUAACGGAGGCGCCCAAAGGUUCCCUCAGCCUGGUUGGCAAUCAGGUGUCGAGUGCAAGUGCACAAGGGAGCUUGACUGUGAGACUGACAGGUCGAGCAGGGACGAAAGUCGGGACUAGUGAUCCGGCACCGGCAAGUGGAAGCGGUGUCGCUCAACGGAUAAAAGGUACCCCGGGGAUAACAGGCUGAUCUUCCCCAAGAGUCCAUAUCGACGGGAUGGUUUGGCACCUCGAUGUCGGCUCGUCGCAUCCUGGGGCUGGAGUAGGUCCCAAGGGUUGGGCUGUUCGCCCAUUAAAGCGGCACGCGAGCUGGGUUUAGAACGUCGUGAGACAGUUCGGUCUCUAUCCGCCGCGCGCGUUAGAAACUUGAGGAAGGCUGUCCCUAGUACGAGAGGACCGGGACGGACGAACCUCUGGUGUGCCAGUUGUUCCGCCAGGAGCACCGCUGGUUAGCUACGUUCGGAAGGGAUAACCGCUGAAAGCAUCUAAGCGGGAAGCCUGUUCCAAGAUGAGGUUUCUCACCCCCUCGAGGGGGUAAGGCCCCCGGCAGACCACCGGGUUGAUAGGCCAGAACUGGAAGUGCAGUAAUGCAUGCAGGUGACUGGUACUAAUAGGCCGAGGACUUACCACAA
rnacentral:rRNA from 1 species